rnacentral:rRNA from 1 species
GAUGAACGCUGGCGGCGUGCUUAACACAUGCAAGUCGAACGGAAAGGCCUCUGCUUGCAGGGGUACUCGAGUGGCGAACGGGUGAGUAACACGUGGGUGAUCUGCCCUGCACUUCGGGAUAAGCCUGGGAAACUGGGUCUAAUACCGGAUAGGACAAUGGUUUGGAUGCUGUUGUGGAAAGUUUUUCGGUGUGGGAUGAGCUCGCGGCCUAUCAGCUUGUUGGUGGGGUAAUGGCCUACCAAGGCGUCGACGGGUAGCCGGCCUGAGAGGGUGUACGGCCACAUUGGGACUGAGAUACGGCCCAGACUCCUACGGGAGGCAGCAGUGGGGAAUAUUGCACAAUGGGCGCAAGCCUGAUGCAGCGACGCCGCGUGGGGGAUGACGGCCUUCGGGUUGUAAACUCCUUUCGCUAGGGACGAAGCGUUUUUGUGACGGUACCUGGAGAAGAAGCGCCGGCUAACUACGUG